CAGCAGCCACGGGAAUACGGAGGUUGCAAGCGUUAAUCGGAAUUACUGGGCGUAAAGCGCACGCAGGCGGUCUGUCAAGUCGGAUGUGAAAUCCCCGGGCUCAACCUGGGAACUGCAUUCGAAACUGGCAGGCUAGAGUCUUGUAGAGGGGGGUAGAAUUCCAGGUGUAGCGGUGAAAUGCGUAGAGAUCUGGAGGAAUACCGGUGGCGAAGGCGGCCCCCUGGACAAAGACUGACGCUCAGGUGCGAAAGCGUGGGGAGCAAACAGGAUUAGAUACCCGCGUAGUCCCUGUCUCUUAUAC
rnacentral:rRNA from 1 species